GUGGAUUAGAUACCCUGGUAGUCCACGCCGUAAACUAUGGGUGCUAGCCGUCGGGGAGCAUGCUCUUCGGUGGCGCAGCAAACGCAUUAAGCACCCCGCCUGGGGAGUACGGUCGCAAGAUUAAAACUCAAAGGAAUUGACGGGGGCCCGCACAAGCGGUGGAGCAUGUGGUUUAAUUCGAGGCAACGCGAAGAACCUUACCAGCCCUUGACUUCCCGAUCGGGGGACCAGAGAUGGACCUCUUCAAUUGGUCGGUGACAGGUGCUGCAUGGCUGUCGACAGCU
rnacentral:rRNA from 1 species